UACGUGAAACCGUCUAGAGGCAAACGGAGAGGACCGUAUGGUCCGCCCGUCGGAUUCAGUCCGCCUGCCAGGCUUCGUCGUCGUGCGCGCAUCCCUCUCGGGAGCGUGCCGGCGUUUGUAGGCCUGGCGGCGGCCGUACUUUCGGCGGGCGGAGCGCCACGACCGGUUCGCGGGCGGCGAGAAACUCCCGGGCAAGGUGACCGCGGCCUCGGUCGCGGAGCAUACAGGCCCGGGCAGCGUCGGCCCGUCUGCGGACCGAGGAAGUCUAUAACGCGGCCGCGUGCCGACCGCCUUUCGUGCGGGUGCGUUCGA
rnacentral:rRNA from 1 species